rnacentral:rRNA from 1 species
AUUGAACGCUGGCGGCAUGCCUUACACAUGCAAGUCGAACGGUAACGCGGGGCAACCUGGCGACGAGUGGCGAACGGGUGAGUAAAGUAUCGGAACGUGCCCAAUAGUGGGGGAUAGCCCGGCGAAAGCCGGAUUAAUACCGCAUGAGACCUGAGGGUGAAAGCGGGGGACUCGCAAGAGCCUCGCGCUGUUGGAGCGGCCGAUAUCAGAUUAGGUAGUUGGUGGGGUAAAGGCCUACCAAGCCGACGAUCUGUAGCUGGUCUGAGAGGACGACCAGCCACACUGGGACUGAGACACGGCCCAGACUCCUACGGGAGGCAGCAGUGGGGAAUUUUGGACAAUGGGCGCAAGCCUGAUCCAGCCAUGCCGCGUGCGGGAAGAAGGCCUCGGUUGUAACCG